rnacentral:rRNA from 1 species
AGUGAACGCUGGCGGCAGGCCUAAUACAUGCAAGUCGAACGGCAGCACAGUGGAGCUUGCUCCAUGGGUGGCGAGUGGCGGACGGGUGAGGAAUACGUGGGAAUCUGCCCAGUCGUGGGGGAUAACGUAGGGAAACUUACGCUAAUACCGCAUGCGCCCUUCGGGGGAAAGCCGGGGACCUUCGGGCCUGGCGCGAUUGGAUGAGCCCACGUCGGAUUAGCUAGUUGGCGGGGUAACGGCCCACCAAGGCGACGAUCCGUAGCUGGUCUGAGAGGAUGAUCAGCCACACUGGAACUGAGACACGGUCCAGACUCCUACGGGAGGCAGCAGUAGGGAAUAUUGGACAAUGGGCGCAAGCCUGAUCCAGCCAUGCCGCGUGAGUGGAGAAGGCCCUCGGGUUGUAAAGCUCUUUUGUCCGGAAAGAAAGCAUUCGGUUAAUACCCGGGUGUUCUGACGGUACCGGAAGAAUAAGCACCGGCUAACUUCGUGCCAGCAGCCGCGGUAAAG